rnacentral:snoRNA from 1 species
UUUGCCCCCGGUUGAGUACGGAAAUAUGCGAGAACUUCUUUAACAAUUUCCUUAAUGAAGGGUGGCCAAAGCAAAUGUUGUAGCUGGCUCUUGUCAUUUUCAAUUGGAAUGGCCCGGCCAGCUGCUGCGACAGCU